rnacentral:rRNA from 1 species
AGAGUUUGAUCCUGGCUCAGGAUGAACGCUAGCGGCAGGCCUAAUACAUGCAAGUCGAACGAUACCAGAGAGCUUGCUUUCUGGGAAAGUGGCGCACGGGUGCGUAACGCGUAUGCAACCUACCUUAAUCAGGGGGAUAGCCUCUCGAAAGAGAGAUUAACACCGCAUAAAAUCACACUUCGGCAUCGAAGAAUGAUCAAAUAUUUAUAGGAUUAAGAUGGGCAUGCGUGACAUUAGUUUGUUGGUGAGGUAACGGCUCACCAAGACUACGAUGUCUAGGGGAUCUGAGAGGAUGACCCCCCACACUGGUACUGAGACACGGACCAGACUCCUACGGGAGGCAGCAGUAAGGAAUAUUGGUCAAGGGGGCAACCCUGAACCAGCCAUGCCGCGUGCAGGAAGACGGCCCUACGGGUUGUAAACUGCUUUUAUACGGGAAUAAAUCACGCUACGUGUAGUGUGUUGAAUGUACUGUAAGAAUAAGGAUCGGCUAACUCCGUGCCAGCAGCCGCGGUAAUACGGAGGAUCCAAGCGUUAUCCGGAUUUAUUGGGUUUAAAGGGUGCGUAGGCGGCCUAUUAAGUCAGGGGUGAAAGACGGUGGCUCAACCAUCGCAGUGCCCUUGAUGCUGAUGGGCUUGAUUACACUUGAGGUAGGCGGAAUGUGACAAGUAGCGGUGAAAUGCAUAGAUAUGUCACAGAACACCAAUUGCGAAGGCAGCUUACUAAGGUGUCAAUGACGCUGAGGCACGAAAGCGUGGGGAUCAAACAGGAUUAGAUACCCUGGUAGUCC